CGUGAUUCUAGGGGCUCGGCAAACGGCCAAGUAACACGGGGAAACCCUCCCCUAUCGUCUGGAAUAACCUCGGGAAACUGAGAACAAGGCCGGAUAGCCCACAAUGCCUGGAACGGUUUGUGGGUGAAGAUAGGAUGGGUCUGCGGCGUAUCAGGUUGUAGGGGGUGUAAUGGACCUCCUAGCCAUCGACGCGUACGGGUGUUGGGAGACAUAGCCCGGAGAUGGAUUCUGAGACACGAAUCCAGACCCUACGGGGUGCAGCAGGCGCGAAAACUUCACACUGCAGGAAACUGUGAUGAGGGAACUCCUAGUGCAUGCACUAUGUGUAUGUAGAUCCUACUCUUAACAAGUAGAGGGAAAGGGCUGGGAAAGACCGGUGCCAGCCGCCGCGGUAAUACCGGCAGCUCAAGUGGUCGUCGCUUUUAUUGGGCCUAAAACGUCCGUAGCCUGUUUGGUAAAUCUGUGGGUAAAUCAACCAGCUUAACUGGUUGAAUUCUGCAGAGACUGCCAGACUAGGGACCGGGAGAGGUGUGGGGUACUCUAGGGGUAGGGGUAAAAUCCUGUCAUCCUGGGAGGACCACCAGUUGCGAAGGCGCCACACUGGAACGGAUCCGACGGUCAGGGACGAAGCCUAGGGGCACGAACCGGAUUAGA
rnacentral:rRNA from 1 species